AUAGUACUCCCUCCGUUCCGAAUUACUCGUCGCAGGUAUGGAUGUAUCUAGAUGUAUUUUAGUUCUAGAUACAUCCAUUUCUGCGACGAGUAAUUUGGAACGGAGGGAGUACAUC
rnacentral:pre_miRNA from 1 species